rnacentral:rRNA from 1 species
AGGACGAACGCUGGCGGCGUGCUUAACACAUGCAAGUCGAGCGGAAAGGCCCUUCGGGGUACUCGAGCGGCGAACGGGUGAGUAACACGUGAGUAAUCUGCCCCUAGCUCUGGGAUAGCUCCGGGAAAACCGGGAUUAAUACCAGAUACGACCACUUUAGACAUCUGCUGUGGUGGAAAGAAUUUCGGCUAGGGAUGAGCUCGCGGCCUAUCAGCUUGUUGGUGAGGUAACGGCUCACCAAGGCGACGACGGGUAGCCGGCCUGAGAGGGCGACCGGCCACACUGGGACUGAGACACGGCCCAGACUCCUACGGGAGGCAGCAGUGGGGAAUAUUGCGCAAUGGGCGAAAGCCUGACGCAGCGACGCCGCGUGGGGGAUGAAGGCCUUCGGGUUGUAAACCCUUUCAGCAGGGACGAAGCGAAAGUGACGGUACCUGCAGAAGAAGCGCGGCUAACUACGUGCCAGCAGCCGC